rnacentral:rRNA from 1 species
GACGAACGCUGGCGGCGCGCCUAACACAUGCCAGUCGAACGGAGCUGCGAGAAGCUUGCUUUUCUUAGCUUAGUGGCGCACGGGUGAGUAACGCGUGAGUAACCUGCCCUGGAGUGGGGGACAACAGUUGGAAACGACUGCUAAUACCGCAUAAGCCCACGAUCCGGCAUCGGAUUGAGGGAAAAGGAUUUAUUCGCUUCAGGAUGGACUCGCGUCCAAUUAGCUAGUUGGUGAGGUAACGGCCCACCAAGGCGACGAUUGGUAGCCGGACUGAGAGGUUGAACGGCCACAUUGGGACUGAGACACGGCCCAGACUCCUACGGGAGGCAGCAGUGGGGGAUAUUGCACAAUGGGGGAAACCCUGAUGCAGCGACGCCGCGUGGAGGAAGAAGGUUUUCGGAUUGUAAACUCCUGUCGUUAGGGACGAUAAUGACGGUACCUAACAAGAAAGCACCGGCUAACUACGUG